rnacentral:snoRNA from 1 species
AUGCUUGAAGUUGAUGAAUUGGUAUCCUACGUUUUUAUCGAUUUGGACCUUGAGUUCAACCCGAUGGUUUAUGCCAUCUCUGCAAGGGUUAAACCCAUCAUGGUGGCGGAGCUCUACACUCAACUAAUUAGUUUUGAGC